UACGUAGGUGACAAGCGUUGUCCGGAUUUACUGGGCGUAAAGAGCGCGCAGGCGGUCGAUCAAGUCGAGUGUGAAAGCCCCCGGCUCAACUGGGGAGGGUCAUUCGAUACUGAUCGACUCGAAGGCAGGAGAGGGUAGUGGAAUUCCCGGUGUAGUGGUGAAAUGCGUAGAUAUCGGGAGGAACACCAGUGGCGAAGGCGGCCCACUGGAUCGGUACUGACGCUGAGGUGCGAAAGCGUGGGGAGCAAACAGG
rnacentral:rRNA from 1 species